AUCCAACUGACAAGUCCCAAAUGGGACGAAACGCGCAUCCUGGAU
rfam:Schistosoma mansoni, Puerto Rico, WGS project CABG01000000 data, contig: 0100